GAUGAAGAACGCAGCGAAAUGCGAUACGUAAUGUGAAUUGCAGAAUUCAGUGAAUCAUCGAGUCUUUGAACGCACAUUGCGCCCUUUGGUAUUCCGAAGGGUAUGCUCGUUUGAGUGUCAUUGUACUCUCACACUUCUAAUUCCUUUCGGGAUUGGGAGCGGUGGACUUGGGUGUUGCUGCUUUAGUUGUGGCUCACCUCAAAUAAGUUAGUGCAACUCUUGGUUGGACAUAGUACGGCGUGAUAAGUGUCUUCGCCGGCGCCUCUGUAAGGAGGGUGGCCGAUCGGGAGCUCUGUGCUUCAAACCGUCUUCGGACAAUCUUUGACAACUUGACCUCAAAUCGAGUAGGACUACCCGCUGAACUUAAGCAUAUCAAUAAGCGGAGGA
rnacentral:misc_RNA from 1 species